CCCUUCUCAUUUCAUCUGCACUCUCCACUUCACAACCUGUAACUAACUCCACCCAAAAAACCCAAAUCUCGACCGUUAUUUUUUUCCUAAUCAGGUAAAAUUUCGAUCCCUCUCUUCCAUCGAUCCCCCAUCACUCGAUCCCCUACCAAUUAAGCUCCCCUCCGUUCAAAGAUUUCUCCUUUUUUGGCGCAGGAGCUGGAUUCCGUCGGCGAUGUCGCCGCUUCCGCCUAGGGUUCCGAUCAACAUCAAGAGGAGAGCCGUCUCCGCCGUCCGCGACUUCCCUAAGGGCUGCGGUGUUAAGGUAACCUCAAACCCUAGCCCUAGCGAGGCGGAUGCUGAUGCCGCCUCUGAAGCGAGUAGCUCGCUUAAGGUCCCGAAAGAGGGCUUGAAUGGUUCUGCUAAGGCUCUGAUCGAUUCGGAGGAGUUACGAGCUGAAAAGGGGGGGAUUGAAGGGAAAAGCUUGGAGCUUGCUAACCCUAACCCUGAGGAGAAGGAGGAGGAGAUUGAAGGGAAAGAUUUGGAGCCGCCUAACCCGAAGGAGGCAGUGGGGGAGAUUGAAGGGAAUGAUUUGGGGCUCCCUAACCCUAAACUGAACGGGGAUGUUGAAGGGAAUGAGUUGGCGCUCCCAAACCCUAAUCCUAGCCCAGAGGAGAAGAAAGGGAUGAUUGAAGGGAAGGAUGCGGAGCUGCCGAAUGACGAGGUGGUGAAGGUUAUUGGGCAUGUGGAGGACGAGGAGGGGAUGAGGCAUUUGAAGAAACGUGCGGAUGAGGAGGAUGUUAAGGAGGAGAAGUUGAAUGCGAAGAGAUUUGUUGGUUUGAAGAGGAGGAAGGUCUCGGCGGUUCGAGACUUUCCUCUUGGAUGUGGGAGAGCUUCUUCUAAGAAUUCGAAUGCGGGACCCAUUGCUUCCUCUGAGAGCGAGAGCAAGAGCAAGAGCAGGGCUGUCAAUGAUGAUGAGGUGAGAAUGAACGUCGUAGAGGCCAAGAACUCGGUUGAGGAUGCGGUGAGAGAGAAAGAUGAAACGCAAAUCGGAGAAACAAAUGUUGAUGCCGUUAUUAAGAGACUUGAAGAAGACGGGGUUUUGCCUGGUGAAAAGCACAUGGCCAAGGUUAAAAAUAGUGAGGGCAAGCAAGUUAAUGCUAAGGAGAAGAAAGCCUUGCUGAAGAAAAAGGAUGUUAUGGAAGGUUCGGGCAGUGUUUCUUCUUUAGAAGCGAUCGAGAUGAAGAGAACUGGGAGGAUCACCGAGGAAAUGGAGGAAUCGGACGAGGAUAAGGAUGAGUUUAGGAUAGUGAGGCGGCAAGUUCACAGGGACAGUGAUGAUUUUCAAAAGAGUAGCUCGAGCGAGAGUACAUUGGAAGGUCAAAGAGCGAAGAAAUUGUUGAUUCAAUCUUCUAAGAAGAAGUUGGAAGCUAGUGAUGUGAGACCAGCUAGAAAUAGUCUUCAGGGUAAAGGAUUGCGAGAAGAAAAAGUAGGCAGGAGUUUGGUAGAGAAACCAGUAGAUAAGGGAUCCAUCAAGAGAGUGAAAGAACGUGACGAGUAUUUGGAAGUUUUGGGGGAUAAGGAAAUCGUGCACGCUUUGAUGGCUGCUGAUAACUGUCCAUGGAGGAAGGGGAAAAAGUCAGUUGCUACCAUUUCCCAUUCUAUCACUCCAAGAGUCAAAGCAAAGAAAGCAAAACGAUUGUUAGGUAGCAAUUCUGCUUCUGCCUCCGGCAAAAAAUCUGUAUAUGCACAUGAAAAUAGAGUGGAUAUGGAGGAUGAACAAGAAUCCCAGCUUCAGAAUGAUGAAAAUGAAAUGGCCCUCGCCCUUUAUGAUGGACCCCAAGAGUUAUCUAUCACUAUGACUCCAUCUGUCCCUCCUCAACUAACUCACAAAGACGGAAGCAAUGAAGAGGGCACCAGUCGCAUGAUGGUUAAGAAAACUCUUCGAACGUUUCAAUUGAUGUUUAGGAAGCUCUUAAAAAUGGAAGAAGCAAACUCAAAGGAAAAUGAAAAGAGUCAGAGGAUUGAUUUAAUGGCUGCUGGUAUGUUAAAAAAGAAUAAAGAAUGGGUAAACCAUGAUGGUGAGGCAAUAAUAGGACAUGUACCCGGAGUUGAGGUUGGUGAUGAAUUUCACUACAGGGUGGAGCUCUCUAUCAUCGGAAUUCAUCGUCCUUUUCAAGGCGGAAUUGAUUACACGAAGAAAAAUGGUGUGCAUCUUGCAACAAGUAUUGUGUCAUCUGGGGGUUACCCUGAUGAUGUAGCUAGUUCAGAUGUUUUGAUAUAUUCCGGUUCAGGAGGAAAUGCAGCUGGUGGAGACAAACCAGCAGGAGAUCAGAAACUUGAACGGGGAAACCUGGCUUUAAAGAACAGUAUAGCUGCACAAACACCUGUACGGGUUGUUUAUGGUUCUAAAGAGCUUGUUAAAAGUGAUUCCCGUGGUUCAAAACCCAAGAUGGUGGCCACCUUUAUCUAUGACGGGCUGUACAUAGUUGAGAAAUUCUGGCCAGAGUUGAACAAUAAGGGUUUUAGUGUUUUCAAGUUUCAGUUGAGGAGAAUGGCAGGGCAACCUGAAAUUGCUUUAAAAGAAAUCAAGAAGUCGAAGAAGUCAAAAGAACGGGAAGGCCUUUGUGUGAAAGAUAUAUCCAAUGGAAAAGAAAGGAGACCCAUUUGUGCAGUGAAUACGGUCGAUAGUGAACAGCCAAUGCCUUUUAAAUAUAUUUCUAAGGUCAUGUACCCUUCAUGGUAUGUCAAGAAACCUCCAAUGGGCUGCGAUUGCAAAAACGGGUGCUCGGAUACUGAGAAAUGUGCUUGUGCGAUGAAGAAUGGUGGAGAAAUUCCGUUUAACCACAAUGGCGCUAUUGUUAACGCGAAGCCCCUUGUUUAUGAGUGUGGUCCUUCUUGCAAGUGCCCUCCUUCAUGCCACAAUAGGGUCAGUCAACAUGGUAUUAAACUACCACUGGAGAUUUUCAAGACUAGCAAAAGGGGUUGGGGAGUGAGAUCCUUGUACUCGAUUCCUUCUGGCACUUUCGUGUGCGAGUAUAUAGGAGAAAUGCUUGAGGAUGCAGAUGCUGAGAAGAGGACGACCAAUGAUGAAUAUCUCUUUGAUAUAGGGCAUAACUAUGAAGACCGUGCUCUGUGGGAGGGUCUGCCAAGUUAUAUACCGGGUCUGGAGUUAGAUGCUACCUCUGAGAUUGCCUCUGAGAUGAAGGAUGAUGGUUUCACAAUCGAUGCAGCUGAGUUUGGAAAUAUUGGCAGAUUUAUUAACCAUAGCUGUUCGCCCAACCUUUACGCACAAAAUUUGCUUUAUGAUCAUGAUGAUAAGAGAAUGCCUCACGUAGCUUUCUUUGCUAUUGAUAAUAUCCCUCCACUUCAGGAGCUGACGUAUCAUUACAAUUACACUAUCGAUCAAGUCCGAGAUUCAGAAGGCAACAUUAAAGAGAAAGAAUGUCUAUGCGGUUCUUCUGAGUGCAUUGGCAGGCUUUAUUGACUGAGGCGGUUUUGAGAUGUACAUUUCUCGACUUCCUCUGUUGGCCUUCAUGAAGGUAAAAGGAAAAUUUAGAUGCCCGGGCAUAUUCAAACAAAGUUAAUUGAGAGUCGAGAUAAUAUUCGUGUAUUAGUGGGUGUUGAUAGAGCAGCUGGUGAGGGUCCAAAGCGAAUUGAAGAUUCCGUUGUAGCCAUGGAUGCGGUACGUGCACAUGAAGUGGAGAGCUAUAUAGCAAGGAGCCUUCUAAAUCUUCAUUUUCCGAAUCUAAUAAGAAGCUAAAAAGACACUGUUUAGUAGAUUUUGUGAGAAGUAAGAAAAAUUUGGAGGGUGAGAGAGACAUGCCAAGGUGUCUAAAGCGUCAGGUAUUCUUCUGUAUUAAGUUUUAAGAGUUGUUAAGAGGCUCAUGAAUGAUAUUAUGGAUGAGUUUCAAAUGCUGAAUGGUCUUCCUGACGAUGACGAAGAGGUUCGUGAAUGAUGCUAUAGAUGAGUUUCGAAUUCUAAAGAAGCCUCGUGAUGAUGGCGAGUUAGAAUGGAUUUCCGCUAUAUCUUAAGAACCCGACUUUGUAGGGAGAUGAUGAAAUUUGUAGGGAGAGUUCAACUAUGUUUUUGUGUUUUGAUGGUGAUUUUAGAUGUUAAGAGUCUUCAAAAUAUUGGGUUUAUACUUUGCUUGGGUGAUUUUCUA